CUACGGGUUGCUGCAGUGGGGAAUAUUGCACAAUGGAGGAAACUCUGAUGCAGCAACGCCGCGUGGAGGAUGACACUUUUCGGAGCGUAAACUCCUUUUAUAUAGGAAGAAGAUGACGGUACUAUAUGAAUAAGCACCGGCUAACUCCGUGCCAGCAGCCGCGGUAAUACGGAGGGCGCAAGCGUUACUCGGAAUCACUGGGCGUAAAGAGCGUGUAGGCGGAUUAAAAAGUCAGAAGUGAAAUCCUAUAGCUUAACUAUAGAACUGCUUCUGAAACUCUUAAUCUAGAAUAUGGGAGAGGUAGAUGGAAUUUCUGGUGUAGGGGUAAAAUCCGUAGAGAUCAGAAGGAAUACCGAUUGCGAAGGCGAUCUACUAGAACAUUAUUGACGCUGAGACGCGAAAGCGCGGGGAGCAAACAGGAUUAGAUACCCGUGUAGUC
rnacentral:rRNA from 1 species